rnacentral:hammerhead_ribozyme from 1 species
AUCCAGUAUACGAGUUCAAGACAGGACGAAGACGCGCGUCCUGGAU